rnacentral:rRNA from 1 species
UACGGCGACUGCGAAUGGCUCAUUAUAUAAGUUAUCGUUUAUUUGAUAGCACCUUACUACUUGGAUAACCGUGGUAAUUCUAGAGCUAAUACAUGCUAAAAAUCCCGACUUCGGAAGGGAUGUAUUUAUUAGAUUAAAAACCAAUGCCCUCUGGGCUCUCUGGUGAUUCAUGAUAACUUCUCGAAUCGCAUGGCCUUGCGCCGGCGAUGGUUCAUUCAAAUUUCUUCCCUAUCAACUUUCGAUGUUUGGGUAGUGGCCAAACAUGGUUGCAACGGGUAACGGAGGGUUAGGGCUCGACCCCGGAGAAGGAGCCUGAGAAACGGCUACUACAUCCAAGGAAGGCAGCAGGCGCGCAAAUUACCCAAUCCCGACACGGGGAGGUAGUGACAAUAAAUACUGAUACAGGGCUCUUUUGGGUCUUGUAAUUGGAAUGAGUACAAUUUAAAUCCCUUAACGAGGAACAAUUGGAGGGCAAGUCUGGUGCCAGCAGCCGCGGUAAUUCCAGCUCCAAUAGCGUAUAUUAAAGUUGUUGUGGUUAAAAAGCUCGUAGUUGAACCUUGGGCCUGGCUGGCCGGUCCGCCUCACCGCGUGCACUGGUCCGGCCGGGCCUUUCCCUCUGUGGAACCCCAUGCCCUUCACUGGGUGUGGCGGGGAAACAGGACUUUUACUUUGAAAAAAUUAGAGUGCUCCAGGCAGGCCUAUGCUCGAAUACAUUAGCAUGGAAUAAUGAAAUAGGACGUGCGGUUCUAUUUUGUUGGUUUCUAGGACCGCCGUAAUGAUUAAUAGGGACAGUCGGGGGCAUCAGUAUUCAAUUGUCAGAGGUGAAAUUCUUGGAUUUAUUGAAGACUAACUACUGCGAAAGCAUUUGCCAAGGAUGUUUUCAUUAAUCAGAACGAAAGUUAGGGGAUCGAAGACGAUCAGAUACCGUCGUAGUCUUAACCAUAAACUAUGCCGACUAGGGAUCGGACGAUGUUAUUUUUUGACUCGUUCGGCACCUUACGAGAAAUCAAAGUGCUUGGGCUCCAGGGGGAGUAUGGUCGCAGGCUGAAACUUAAGAAUUGACGAAGGCACCACCAGGGUGG